rnacentral:lncRNA from 1 species
CUACAGGGAUGCCCCAAGAGUUACAUACCUUCCCUGUUAGUCACACACUCUUUGGAGAAUAACACCUUGAAAAAGGCAAGGCCUCUCCUUCCCUCAUUUCAAAGGUUUUCCCAACAUUUCCAACUAGGAACAUCAAAUUGGAAUUCUGGCUAGGUGAUGAGUCACCUCUAGGACCCUUGGGAAUGCAGCAGUCACCACACACAGAUGCUGUCUGACAGGAUCCAUUGCUGCCUCAACACAGAGCAAACUCCUCUUGAGGCAGACUAGGCCAACUGUCUCUCGAAGGGUCAUCCUGUCUAAGGCUCACUUCAAAGAUCCUCAGUGA